rnacentral:lncRNA from 1 species
UCAAAAGACACCGAAGGUCGUCGACACAGCAUCCAAAAAUGCUUCCUGGGGAAGAUGGACCAAGACGCUGCCGCGACAGGCUCCAAGAGGAAGAGUGGUAGCAGGCUAUAACACAGAGGAUAAUCUUGUCUCCAAAAGAGGUGUCUCAACCCUUGCAAGUGAAAUCAGAUUUUCCACGUUGAGUCCAAACUUCUCAAGUUUCCUACUGGCAAGGAGUAAGGCCCUAAUUAGUUCAUGUGUGCCAGCUAAUUAGCCAUUGCCAGGGCCAUUGUCCUGAAAACGCACAAAAUGCAGCAUGUCUGAACUGGAAGAACGUUUAGAGCUUUUUCAGUCCAACUUCUCAGAUUGGAAGUGGAACCUCAGACAAGUGUUUGGGCCAAUAAUUCAACGCAGUGUAGCAGAUAAAGGACACGAACCGAGGUUUCCAGUCCUCGGUCUUGUGAUUCCACUAAACUACUCCUAAUUGAAGAAGAGAUGGAGAGAUUAUAAAGGAUUCAUCUGCUGCUUUACAUCGACUCUGACAAUCCAACACUAAAUUGUUUCUCUGUGUAGCAGAUGCUGUUGGCACCUCACCGAGAUUUCUUCAGCACUCACAGUUCCCACGCUCUGUGCUGCUGGCUUCCUCUGGGAAGUGUCUACAACUCUUGGCCUGAGGGCUUUCAGGAGAUGCCUCUAGGAGAGGCUCUCAGCCAAUGAUGGAUAGAGAUGUUGUGCUUUAGAGUGGGACAAUUCUGAGAUGAGUUUGACACCAUCUCCCGGAUGCCCCGGGGGGACUGAGCCCCAGGUGCUUACAGCAGCAACCUGCCCAUCAAUGCAUGCUCUUUGGGCUUCAUUCUCUUUGCUGUCUCACUUCCAUACUCCCCGAGGUAGGCAGAAUAACCCCCAAAGAUGACCCUACCCUAGUCUCCAGGACUUCUGAGUCUGUUAGCUUACAUGGCAAAAGGGACUUCGAAGAUGUGAUUAAGGUUAUGGAACUUGAGACAGGGAUAUUGGAUUAUCUAGGUGGGCCCAAUCUACUGUCAUGGGUCUUGGGAAGCUGAGAAUCUUUUCUGGCUGGUGAGAGAGAUGACGGAAAAAGGGUGAGAGAGAUGCAAUGUUGUUGGCUUUGAUGAUGGAGGAAGGGGGCCAUGAGCCAGGGGAUGCAGGUGGCCUUGAGAGGCUGGAAAAGGCAAGGGCUGCCUACUCCUUCAUCCUAUCUCAGUGAGGUCAACAUUGGAUUUCUGAUCUAAGAACUGUAAAUUAAUAAAUGUGUCUUGUUUUAAGCCAGCAAAUGUGUGAUGUUUUGGCAACAAUAGAAAUUUAAUUCACUCCUCUCUUCAUUUUGGAAUUACCUGUGAAAUAAACCGUUUAUAUUCAAAGC